AAGGAGGGCGGGUGCUACACAUGCAAGUCGAGCGGAGUUAUUGUAGCAAUACGAUAACUUAGCGGCAGACGGGUGAGUAACGCGUAAACAAUCUACCCUAUCGCUGGGGAUAAGCUACCGAAAGGGAGUGUAAUACCGAAUAAGUCACUGUGACGGAGGUUAUGGUGAUAAAAGUUACGGCGCGAUAGGAGGGGUUUGCGUCCCAUUAGCUAGUUGGUGGGGUAACGGCCUACCAAGGCGACGAUGGGUAGCUGGUCUGAGAGGAUGAUCAGCCACACUGGAACUGUGACACGGUCCAGACUCCUACGGGAGGCAGCAGUGAGGAAUAUUGCGCAAUGGUCGAAAGACUGACGCAGCGACGCCGUGUGUGGGAAGAAGGCUCUUGGGUUGUAAACCACUGUCAGUGGGGACGAAAAAAAUGACGGUACCCACAGAGGAAGCCCCGGCUAACUACGUGCCAGCAGCCGCGGUAAGACGUAGGGGGCGAGCGUUGUUCGGAAUUACUGGGCGUAAAGAGCUCGUAGGCGGGCUAAUAAGUCUUGCAACAAAGACUACGGCUUAACUGUAGGAAGUUGUGGGAUACUGUUAGUCUUGAGAACAGGAGAGGGGAGUGGAAUUCCUAGUGUAGCGGUGAAAUGCGUAGAUAUUAGGAGGAACACCAGUGGCGAAGGCGACUCUCUAGCCUGUUUCUGACGCUGAGGAGCGAAAGCCGGGGGAGCGAACGGGAUUAGAUACCCCGGUAGUCCCGGCUGUAAACGAUGGACACUAGGUGUAGGAGGUAUCGACCCCUUCUGUGCCGCAGUUAACACAUUAAGUGUCCCGCCUGGGGAGUACGGUCGCAAGACUAAAACUCAAAGGAAUUGACGGGGGCCCGCACAAGCGGUGGAGCAUGUGGUUUAAUUCGACGCAACGCGAAGAACCUUACCUGGACUUGACACCCCUUGACGGUCUAUGAAAGUAGAUUUCAAUUAUCGUUAAGAUGAUUGCAAGGAGACAGGUGCUGCAUGGCUGUCGUCAGCUCGUGUCGUGAGAUGUUGGGUUAAGUCCCGCACGAGCGCAACCCUUGUUCUAGUGCAUCAUAGUGGGUACUCUAAGAGACUGCGAUAAAGUCGAGAAGUGGAUGACGUCAAGUCAGCAUGCUACGUCAAGGCGACACACGUGCUAACAAUGGGUUCUACGAAGGGUAGCAAAACAGGCGAUGUUUG
rnacentral:rRNA from 1 species